rnacentral:misc_RNA from 1 species
ACAAUAUCAGCAAAUAAAUUACAACAUCAAAGGGAAUUAGCAAUAUCUAAUCAUUAGCAAAAAUAUAGAUCCCAAUUGAAAUAUUAUUCUGAUUGUAAUUAUCUUACAUUAAGGCCUUGAACGUGGCUUCCAUUUUUAAGGAAUUCCUAUUAUGAAAUCAUGUAAUCUCUAUAUAAAUAGACCAUCUUUAUGAACAAGCAGAAUUUCUUUAACAUUGUCAAGAGGUUACAAGCUCCCUAGCAAUUUAGACCUCAGAACUGUAAUGAAGCUCGUUAGAGGGAGCUUGUAACCUUUUGACAAUGUUGUUAAAGAAAUUAUGUUUAUUCAUAAAGAUCGUCUCCUUAUAUAGAGUUUACACGAUUUCAUAACAAUACACAUUCAAGGCCUUAAUUUAAGAUAAUUAUAAUCAGAAUAAUAUCGGAAUUGAAAUAUAUAUUUUUGAUAAUUAGUUAUUAUUGAUUCCCCUUGAUGUUGUAAUUUAUUUGUUGAUAUUAAAAUUUAUUUGUUGCCAUUUCCAUAGCCAUUGACUUUGCUAAUAUUGUAAUUUAUUUAUUGCCAUUGACUUCCUUAUCUUGUGGUCCACGCCUUAUAUAACUUUCCCUAUGAAUACAUCCCUAACACAUAUAAGUGUUGGCAAAUCAA